ensembl:lncRNA
AAACCUGUUACGCAGAUGGGUCCAUGAAACUAAACAAAUCAUGUAUUUGAUGCUCAUUCACCGGAUGGAGCUUGACUGCUCCCUGGUGGUAGAACGAGGUCACGCUGACACACGCGAUACACACACGCGGAGUGAUGGCGGCAUGCCAUCAAUUAAACAAAUGAAACAUAAUGAGAAACAGACGAGAGGGAGAGAUCAGCCAGAGAUCGGACUCCAGGGAGACGUUCCAUUCCUGCUCCGCACCAUGUGUGACCACAGAGGUUCAGGAAAAUCCAUGGCCUGUCUGACUCCUCCACCUCUUCAGCGUCAGCCUGUGCCCACACCAUCAGGAUAUAGCAGGAAGCCACUCCGGCGAUUAGAAGAAACAUUCUUGAGACCUUCAAAGCUUUCAUACGUGUCACUCUUGAAACAUAACCCAUUGGCCGACCGGCCGACAGGAAGACGGAGGAAGGAGACGUGGAGCUUCAUCCCAGCGCAGCCUGCAUGGCGAGGAGAGACCAGGGGCCACAACCACCUGACCUCCCAUUACCCAGAGGCCCUACUGGGGUCUCUCCCUCCUGCUCCUCUCUCAGACCAGAGCAGAAGAUGAGUGAGUCGGUACCACCAGCGCAGCAGCGGACUACAGAGGGGCUACACUGACACGCCGUGCCCAUCAGCCCGUGGGCACUGCGGCAUGAAUGUAACAGCUGGACUCGUGCGAUAACUAAGAGCAGCACUGAGGAGGAGGAGGAGGAGGAGGAGGAAGAGGACAAUAGGCUGCGUCCAGUCCUGUCCAUCCAGCCGGUGGGUGGAUACAGCAGCCAGCCCCCCCGUCCCCUCACCACCACCACCCCCCACCACCACCCCACCACCAC